CGAAUCAGUCUUGCCUAUGGAAUUUCAGAUAAGAUCACGGUGCUUUGUGGAUCUGCCCUUGCUGAUGCAAUUAAUCAAUUCAAGUUCAUGCCAUUCCUUAUUUUAUCCGGACGGUUAUGCCCUCCAGGAAUUGAAGGAACUUUAUUUGCCCUCUUUAUGUCAAUAAACAACUUGGGUUCAACGCUGGGAUCAUUCACAGGUGCUGCACUAGCUUCAUUUUUGAACCUCUCAUCAGGCUCUUUUGACAACCUACUAUUGGGCAUUGCCAUCCAAGUCUUCUGCACUUAUAUUCCAGUUGCCCUUCUAGUUUUGAUACCAAAAGAUGCUACAGGGAUAUCAACAUAGUCAGGGAUUCAUUCUCAAUAUAGAAUCAAAAUGCAAUUAUGUAGCAACAGAAAAUGAUCAGAACUUUUUUACAC
rnacentral:misc_RNA from 1 species